GGGGCCGGCAGGGAGGGAGGGAAAAGGGGGGAGGCAGGCAGGGAGGGAGGAGGAAAGGUCCCUCCAUGAGCACUUCGGGCGUAUUCCCUGGCUCCUGACAGC